rnacentral:rRNA from 1 species
UUUGAAUCUGGCGGUCUCAGGCCGUCCGAGUUGUAAUCUAGAGAGGUGUUUUCCGUGCCGGACCGUGUACAAGUCCCUUGGAACAGGGCGUCAUAGAGGGUGAGAAUCCCGUCCAUGACACGGACUACCGGUGCUCUGUGAUACACCUUCAAAGAGUCGAGUUGUUUGGGAAUGCAGCUCAAAAUGGGUGGUAAAUUCCAUCUAAAGCUAAAUACAGGCGAGAGACCGAUAGCGAACAAGUACCGUGAGGGAAAGAUGAAAAGAACUUUGGAAAGAGAGUUAAACAGUACGUGAAAUUGUUGAAAGGGAAACGCUUGAAGUCAGUCGCGUCUGCCAGGACUCAGCCUUGCUUCUGCUUGGUGCACUUCUUGGUGGAUGGGCCAGCAUCGAUUUUGAUUGCCGGAAAAGGGCGGGAGGAAUGUGGCAGCUUUUGCUGUGUUAUAGCCUUCUGUCGUACACGGUGGUUGGGAUCGAGGAC